AUUGAACGCUGGCGGCAGGCCUAACACAUGCAAGUCGAACGAGUGGCGGACGGGUGAGUACUGUCUGGGAAACUGCCUGAUGGAGGGGGAUAACUACUGGAAACGGUAGCUAAUACCGCAUACCAUCAGAUGUGCCCAGAUGGGAUUAGCUAGUUGGUGGGGUAACGGCUCACCAAGGCGACGAUCCCUAGCUGGUCUGUGAGGAUGACCAGCCAAACUGGAACGGAGACACGGUGCAGAAGCCUAAGGGAGGCAGCAGGGUGGAAUAUUGCACAAUGGGCGAAAGCCUGAUGCAGCCAUGCGGAGUGUAUGAAGAAGGCCUUCGGGUUGUAAAGUACUUUCAGCGGGGAGGCGUUACCCGCAGAAGAAGCACAGGCUAACUCCGUGCCAGCAGCCGCGGUAAUUC
rnacentral:rRNA from 1 species